rnacentral:rRNA from 1 species
UACGAGGGGGGCAAGCGUUGUUCGGAAUUAUUGGGCGUAAAGGGUGCGUAGGCGGCGCGGUAAGUCGGGUGUGAAAUCUUGGAGCUUAACUCCGAAACUGCAUUCGAUACUGCCGUGCUUGAGGACUGGAGAGGAGACUGGAAUUUACGGUGUAGCGGUGAAAUGCGUAGAUAUUCGCAAGAACACCAGUGGCGAAGGCGGCUCACUGGCCCGGUACUGACGCUGAGGACGAAAGCGUGGGGAGCAACAGG